rnacentral:rRNA from 1 species
AGAUUGAACGCUGGCGGCGUGCUUAACACAUGCAAGUCGAGCGGUAACGCGGGAGCAAUCCUGGCGACGAGCGGCGAACGGGUGAGUAAUGCUUGGGAAUCUGCCCAUUAGUGGGGAACAACCAGCCGAAAGGUUGGCUAAUACCGCAUACGCCCUACGGGGGAAAGCGGGGGAUCGAAAGACCUCGCGCUAAUGGAUGAGCCCAAGUCGGAUUAGCUUGUUGGUAGGGUAACGGCCUACCAAGGCGACAAUCCGUAGCUGGUCUGAGAGGACGACCAGCCACACUGGGACUGAGACACGGCCCAGACUCCUACGGGAGGCAGCAGUGGGGAAUAUUGGACAAUGGGGGCAACCCUGAUCCAGCGACGCCGCGUGUGUGAAGAAGGCCUGCGGGUUGUAAAGCACUUUUAGUGGGGAUGAAAAGCUCAGGGUUAACACCUCUGGGUCUUGACCUAACCCACAGAAAAAGCACCGGCCAACUCUGUGCCAGCAGCCGCGGU